rnacentral:lncRNA from 1 species
UUUAAUCAUUAGUAUCAAGCUGUCAAUCUUGUUACGGUGGUGGGCCACCAACAAAUACGUUCUAUAUAUUUAUUAUGGUAUAUAGAGAUCCUCACGAAAAGUAAAAUGAAAAGACAAGAAAAGAAGAAGACAAAUCAAAGAAUCUGAUACGUUGUUAUAAAAACAAAACUAAAAAUAACUUUAUUAAAGAAAAUAACACAUCCUCAUAUGCAACCUUCGGCAAACGCUAAUUAAUUAUGACGACUCUCGGCUUCAUUAACCAAAUAAUUCCGGUCUAUCUAUUUAUAACUAAUUACAUAGAAUACUACUCUGAUUCAACUUCAUCUUAACCAUAAUCUAAAUAAUAACCGAAUAUAUCUUAAUCAUAACCGAAUAUAAUAAUGGAUAACACCAAAUAAUCUAAUCCUAAUCUAAUUAGCAUUAUCUCUAACAAAUUUGACAA